AACGAACGCUGGCGGCAUGCCUAACACAUGCAAGUCGAACGAGACCUUCGUGUCUAGUGGCGCACCGGUGGGUGACGCCGGGUAAGCUGCCCUUAGGUUCGGAAUAACUCCCCGUAAGGGGUCCUAAUACCGCAUAAUGUCUUCGGACCAAAGAGUUACGGCCUUUGGAUGGGCCCGCGUUGGUUUAGGUGGUUGGUAGGGUAAAAGCCGAUCAAGGCGACGAUCCAUAGCUGGUCUGAGAGGAUGAUCAUCCACACUGGGACUGAGACACGGCCCAGACUCCUACGGGAGGCAGCAGUGGGGAAUAUUGUACGAUGGGCGAAAGCCUGAUCCAGCAAUGCCGGGUGAGUGAUGAAGGCCUUAGGGUUGUAAAGCCCUUUUACCCGGGAUGAUAAUGACAGUACCGGGUGAAGAAGCUCCGGCUAACUCCGUG
rnacentral:rRNA from 1 species